rnacentral:rRNA from 1 species
GACGAACGCUGGCGGCGUGCUUAACACAUGCAAGUCGAACGGAAAGGCCCUGCUUUUGUGGGGUGCUCGAGUGGCGAACGGGUGAGUAACACGUGAGUAACCUGCCCUUGACUUUGGGAUAACUUCAGGAAACUGGGGCUAAUACCGGAUAGGAGCUCCAGCUGCAUGGUGGGGGUUGGAAAGUUUCGGCGGUUGGGGAUGGACUCGCGGCUUAUCAGCUUGUUGGUGGGGUAGUGGCUUACCAAGGCUUUGACGGGUAGCCGGCCUGAGAGGGUGACCGGCCACAUUGGGACUGAGAUACGGCCCAGACUCCUACGGGAGGCAGCAGUGGGGAAUAUUGCACAAUGGGCGGAAGCCUGAUGCAGCAACGCCGCGUGCGGGAUGACGGCCUUCGGGUUGUAAACCGCUUUCGCCUGUGACGAAGCGUGAGUGACGGUAAUGGGUAAAGAAGCACCGGCUAACUACGUA